rnacentral:rRNA from 1 species
AUUGAACGCUGGCGGCAGGCUUAACACAUGCAAGUCGAGCGGGGUGAUGGUGCUUGCACUAUCACUUAGCGGCGGACGGGUGAGUAAUGCUUAGGAAUCUGCCUGUUAGUGGGGGACAACAUCUCGAAAGGGAUGCUAAUACCGCAUACGUCCUACGGGAGAAAGCAGGGGAUCACUUGUGACCUUGCGCUAAUAGAUGAGCCUAAGUCGGAUUAGCUAGUUGGUGGGGUAAAGGCGUACCAAGGCGACGAUCUGUAGCGGGUCUGAGAGGAUGAUCCGCCACACUGGGACUGAGACACGGCCCAGACUCCUACGGGAGGCAGCAGUGGGGAAUAUUGGACAAUGGGGGGAACCCUGAUCCAGCCAUGCCGCGUGUGUGAAGAAGGCCUUAUGGUUGUAAAGCACUUUAAGCGAGGAGGAGGCUCGUUUGGUUAAUACCCAAGAUGAGUGGACGUUACUCGCAGAAUAAGCGCCGGCUAACUCUGUGCCAGCCGCCGCGGUAA